rnacentral:rRNA from 1 species
ACAUGCCUACAACAUAUAAUUAAUGGAGUGGAUCCCAUUAGAACUCCACAGUUAAGCACGCUCAGGAUAAUGUAGUACAGGGAUGGGUGACCUCCUGGGAAGUCCUAGUGUUUUACAUGCC